UUAACACAUGCAAGUCGAACGGUAAGGCCCCUUCGGGGGUACACGAGUGGCGAACGGGUGAGUAACACGUGGGUGACCUGCCCUGUACUUCGGGAUAAGCCUGGGAAACUGGGUCUAAUACCGGAUAUGACCUUCCCCUGCAUGGGGGUUGGUGGAAAGCUUUUGCGGUACAGGAUGGGCCCGCGGCCUAUCAGCUUGUUGGUGGGGUAAUGGCCUACCAAGGCGACGACGGGUAGCCGGCCUGAGAGGGCGACCGGCCACACUGGGACUGAGACACGGCCCAGACUCCUACGGGAGGCAGCAGUGGGGAAUAUUGCACAAUGGGCGAAAGCCUGAUGCAGCGACGCCGCGUGAGGGAUGACGGCCUUCGGGUUGUAAACCUCUUUCAGUAGGGACGAAGCGCAAGUGACGGUACCUACAGAAGAAGCACCGGCCAACUACGUGCCAGCAGCCGCGGUAAUACGUAGGGUGCGAGCGUUGUCCGGAUUUACUGGGCGUAAAGAGCUCGUAGGCGGUUUGUCACGUCGUCUGUGAAAACCCGAGGCUUAACCUCGGGCCUGCAGGCGAUACGGGCAGACUUGAGUACUGUAGGGGAGACUGGAAUUCCUGGUGUAGCGGUGGAAUGCGCAGAUAUCAGGAGGAACACCGGUGGCGAAGGCGGGUCUCUGGGCAGUAACUGACGCUGAGGAGCGAAAGCGUGGGUAGCGAACAGGAUUAGAUACCCUGGUAGUCCACGCCGUAAACGGUGGGUACUAGGUGUGGGUUUCCUUCCACGGGAUCCGUGCCGUAGCUAACGCAUUAAGUACCCCGCCUGGGGAGUA
rnacentral:rRNA from 1 species